rnacentral:rRNA from 1 species
CCUACGGGUGGCAGCAGUGGGGAAUAUUGCACAAUGGGGGAAACCCUGAUGCAGCGACGCCGCGUGAGUGAAGACGUAUUUCGGUAUGUAAAGCUCCAUCAGCAGGGAAGAAAAUGACGGUACCUGAUUAAGAAGCCCCGGCUAACUACGUGCCAGCAGCCCCGGCAAUACGUAGGGGGCAAGCGUUAUCCGGAUUUACUGGGGGUAAAGGGAGCGUAGACGGCAGCACAAGUCUGGAGUGAAAUGCCGGGGCUUAAACCCGGAACUGCUUUGGAAACUGGUCAGCUAGAGUGCAGGAGAGGUAAGUGGAAUGCCUAGUGUAGCGGUGAAAUGCGUAGAUAUUAGGAGGAACACCAGUGGCGAAGGCAGCUUACUGGACUGUAACUGACGUUGAGGCACGAAAGCGUGGGGAGCAAACAGGAUUAGAUACCCGGGUAGUC